AGGUGGGAUCAUAUCAGCACUAAUGCACCAGAUUCCACCGGAACUCCAAAGUUAAGCGUGCUUGGGAGAGAAAGGUACUAAGACGAGCUUUGUCGCAGGGC
rnacentral:rRNA from 1 species